AGAGAUCAAGUUAUAUAUUAUAGGUGAAAAGGCAGUUAAGUGUUAUAAUUAAUAUUAAUAUAUAAGACUGUUUAUUUAAAAGUAAAAUUUAUAUAUAAACAUAUAUUUCGAUAUAAAUUAACAAACUGAAUCUGCGAAAUCCUUGAGGGAAACUGGGAUUAGAUACCCCACUAUUCUUGGGUGUAAAUUGAUGUAAAUCUACCAGAGUACUACGAAUUAUUACAUAAGAUUUAAAACUCAAAGAGCUUGGCGGUGUUUUAGACCUUUCAGGGGAACCUGUCUCAUAAUCGACAGUCCACGUUAAACCUAACCUUUUUUUGCGAAACAGUUUGUAUACCGUCGUCGUCAGGUAACUUUUUAGAAGAGAGAAGUUAGCAAUAAAAUUAAUAUGAAUUUAAACGUCAGAUCAAGGUGCAGCUAAUAUAAAGGUGAGGAUGGGUUACAAUUAUUAUUUAUAAUACGGAUAAAUUAAUGAAGCUUCAAUUUAUUGAAGGAGGACUUGAAAGUAAAAAAAACUAUACGAAUAGUUUGAAUCUGGCUCUGAAACAUGC
rnacentral:rRNA from 1 species